UACGUAGGGUGCAAGCGUUGUCCGGAAUUAUUGGGCGUAAAGAGCUCGUAGGCGGUCUGUCGCGUCUGCUGUGAAAACUCAGGGCUUAACCCUGAGCUUGCAGUGGGUACGGGCAGACUAGAGUGCGGUAGGGGGAGACUGGAAUUCCUGGUGUAGCGGUGAAAUGCGCAGAUAUCAGGAGGAACACCGGUGGCGAAGGCGGGUCUCUGGGCAUUCCCUGACGCUGAGGAGCGAAAGUGUGGGGAGCGAACAGG
rnacentral:rRNA from 1 species